ACGUAGGGGGCAAGCGUUGUCCGGAAUUAUUGGGCGUAAAGCGCGCGCAGGCGGUCCUUUAAGUCUGAUGUGAAAGCCCACGGCUCAACCGUGGAGGGUCAUUGGAAACUGGGGGACUUGAGUGCAGAAGAGGAAAGCGGAAUUCCACGUGUAGCGGUGAAAUGCGUAGAUAUCUGGAGGAACACCGGUGGCGAAGGCGGCAUCCUGGACUACUACUGACGCUGAGGAGCGAAAGCCAGGGGAGCAAACGGGA
rnacentral:rRNA from 1 species